CAAACUGACCGGGACCUUCCAAGAGGUGUGAGCUCUCAGAGAAAAGCUAAGUGAACACUCCAUGAGAUGACAACUCCAACCUGGCACCCUGAUCUUGAACUUCCAGCCUGCAGAACUUGUCUGGAGGCUUAGCAAAACCAGCAGAUGAAAACUAC